ACGGGGUCUGGAGAGAUGGUUCAGUGCGUGCCGCUCUUACAGAAAACUGGAGUUUGGUUCCCAGCAGCCACCUACAUUGAAAAGCUUCUGAUUGCCUGUAACUCCGGCUCCAGAGGAUCCGACGACGACUUUCUCUGGAGUCCAUGGUCACCUGCACAUCCUUACACACAGACACACACAUAUGCACAUACUUCAAAAUCAUAGACAUGAAAACAUGUGACUCAAGGUUACCUCAGUGCAAUGUUGUUUUGUACUAUUUUGGACAAUCAAAAAAGACUUAAACAAACAGAAUAAAACCAAAGAAGAAAAUGUUGCCUCAAGGGUGCAGGAAGCAACAGGAUUGUCUCGUGGGAGUGGUGGACCCACCAGAGGCUCUGGCGAUAACAUGUCCGUUUGUUCUCCAGAAUUUGGGGUGCAGGUAGGGAGAGCAGUGGUGUGCCGGAGGGACUUGGCUUUUCUCUCUGCUGUGUUCCAUCUUCUGGCUCCGUCUUCUUUAUUUUUUAUUUUCUGACUCCUAUUGGCCCCAGUCAUCCCAAAUGGUACAGAGUAUACUUGAGAAAGAGGAAGCAAAAAGAGAGGGAUGCUAGGAUUCUGGUCCUUUGCAAAUGCUAUUUAUACAUAACUUUUAUGACCAGUAGUGUGACUAUGUCUUCUUAGUGUGUGUGUGUGCUUUUAUGUGCAUGUGUGAUAGGUCAGAGCAACAUUAGGUGGUGGUCUACUGCAGAAGCAGCUAGCUACCUUGUCUUGUCUUGUGAAACAGGCUCUCACUUGGCCUAGGGCGCUCAGAUAAUGUUAGGAAUCCUGGCUAGCACACCUGCCUGUUUUUGCUUCCCCAGCUCUGAGCUUACAGGCACAACGCCAUGCAUUUUUCUUAAAUUCUGUGGACUGAAUGAGGCGAAGAUUUUUACAGUCUGAUAUAGUCUGCUCUGUUUCCCCGGGCCUCUUUUUUUUUUUUUGGUGGGGCUGGUGGUGGGAUGUGUCUCCUUACAUACACCAAGCAUGUGCUCCACCACUGGGCCACAUUGUCCGGUUCCCAGGAAGAAUGGAGUCUCCCAGUGCACUCCCAGUGCGCACCCAGGCUGUGAUUCCAGGGAGGACAGGUGCUUUCCUGGUCUACUUCUGCCUUUGCAUGUGUCUUGCACAUGUGCCGACCGAAAGAAUGCGCUCAUUGAGUCAGAGUGACGUUUGCCUCUGGUUCCUCGGGGCCCCAUGUUUUCCUGUUUUCCUGGACCCUUUCUCUGGACAGCUUCACAGUCACCCCACAUUCUCUGUAUACCGACUCAGAGACUUUGAGUCUUUGAACUAACUCCCUUGUUGUUUAGACCCCGUGCCCUGUCCCCCUCCCCCACCCCAUGCCUCCUAGGUUACCCCACUGCCUUUAUAAAGUGUUGGGCCAGCAGAAGGCAGAGAGGAAGCCUAAAGGAUUAAUUGGUUAAAUUUUAUUACAUAGGCCGGUGCUGUUGUUUACAGGCCAUUAAAAACCAUUAUCAUCUUCCCAGGCUGGGCAGACAGCUCUGAGCCGCUUUGAUGCAUGUCUUAGAGAGAUAAGGAAAAUUUAUCCCUUGUUUUGACUUCAGAAUUUCUUCUUGGUUUAUUAUCUGACAGUACGAUUCAACUUUCUCUCCAAAUGUCCCUGAGCUCCGGCAACUUUUUCAAGUUGUUGGCAGGGGAGGUUCAGAUUAGAGACCUACAAUUUUGGUGUGGGAAGAGACCUCUGAGAUAAAUGACUGUCCCUAGCCUGCCCCCUCCCUCUCACUCCCACCACCAUCUGUAUUUGUCUUUCAUAGCGGAGCUGCUGCUGGACACCCCAGAUUCUCAAGUAAUUUGCACUUAUUGAUCUCCAGGCAGAGCAGACAUUUCUCACGACCUCCGGCUAAUCCUCCCCCUGCCAUGACCACGUCUUCUGCCUAGAAGAGAUGACUUCUUGGAACACACACACACACACACUCACACAGAGUUAUCGGCUUCCUAGUGUCCCUUGGGUACCAUGCACAGGUACCCUCCUGGGUGGGGUGGGCCUGGUUAUAUUCCAACCAAUCUGUCUCUUCCGUGUGCCUUUAAAAAAUUUUAGUUAUUUAUUUUAUGUUUAUGAGUACACUGUAGCUGUAUAGAUGGUUAUGAGCCUUCAUAUGGUUGUUGGGAGUUGAAUUUAGGACCUCUGCUAUCUCCAGUCGGCCCUGCCUGCUCUGGCCGGACUCCGUUCGCUCCAGUCAAUCCUGCUCACUCAGUCCCUGCUCUCUCUGGCACAAAGAUUUAUUUAUUAUUAUAACUAAGUACACAGUAGCUGCCUUUAGAUGCACCAGAAGAAGAGCAUCAGAUCUCAUUAUGGGUGGUUUCUGGGAUUUGAACUCAGGACCUUUGGAAGAGCAGUCAGUUCUCUUAACCACUGAGCCAUCUCAUCAGCCCCAUGUGCCUUUUUUUUUUUAAAGUUUUAUUUCUAUUUUUAUUUGUGUGUGUGCCUGUGUGUGUGUGUGUGUGUGUGUGUGUGUAUGUGUAUGUGUGUGUCUGCCAUGUAUAGGUGCCUGAGGAGGCCAGAAGAAGGCCCUGGAUUCCCUGGAGCUGGAAAUUGCAGGCACUUGUGAAUCACCCCAUGUGGUUGCUGGGAACUGAACUUGUACCCUCUGGAAGAGCAUCAGUGAUCUUAACCAGUGGACCAUCUCUUCAGCCCUAGUCCCCACAUGCCUUCUUGAGGGUGUGGCUUUCCAGGGGAUUAUGACUAUACUACUCUGUAGGGGUCUGCUUCUUACCUACAGAGCCUAUGAGGUUUUCUGUUUCUCAGCUGGGAAGAGAAGUGCUGGAGAGACGCUGUUUACUUUUUCCAAUCAAUUAAAUCGGUGUGAGAGAGAAUGCCCAGGCUUGGCCGGUAUCAGACACCUCCCAAGCUUGAAGAACAAAUGACUGAAUUGGAAGCAGACCUCAGGAGUGCCUGCAGACCCCAGGCUGCUGCUCCUGAAUCUGUGUAAUCAGGUCAACGGGUGUCUUAUUUGAGUGAAGGUUGAUGCCGGCAGGGGGUUGGCCAAAAAAUUAUGUACAGGGCCUGGGGUUAAAGUGCUUUCUGAGCAAGCACGAGGAACUCCAUUUGGAUCCUCAGAACCUAUGUACAAUGCUGCAGUUCCAGCCUCCGAAGGUGGACACACGGGAUCCUAAGAGCAAGCUAGCUACUGAGACUACUGAGAGUGGCGAGCUUUGGAAUUGAUUGAGUCUGCCUCGAUGAAUCAGGGAGAAGAGCUCUUGAGGACUGCCUCCCUGACAGUAACCUCAGGCUUCCGUACAUGUGAGCAUACACAAGCAUGUGCCCCCACUCAUAAGCAACGCUGAGCACAAAUACAUAUGCCCCCCCCCCCC
rnacentral:lncRNA from 1 species